CUUUAUGGCAGACCAUUGCAAAAGACUUAGAAUCUUUUAAACAAAAC
rnacentral:tRNA from 1 species